UACGUAGGGUGCAAGCGUUGUCCGGAAUUAUUGGGCGUAAAGGGCUCGUAGGCGGCCAACUGAGUCGGAUGUGAAAUCCCCAGGCUUAACCUGGGAACUGCAUCUGAUACUGGAUGGCUUGAAUCCGGGAGAGGGAUGCAGAAUUCCAGGUGUAGCGGUGAAAUGCGUAGAUAUCUGGAGGAAUACCGAUGGCGAAGGCAGGUCUCUGGGCUGACACUGACGCUCAUGCACGAAAGCGUGGGGAGCAAACAGG
rnacentral:rRNA from 1 species